rnacentral:lncRNA from 1 species
AGGACACAACCUUCCAAGACAGAGCCUUCAAGAUGAGGAGAGAACACGAGCAAGAGAAGUAGUUGGAGAAAACGCAUCCCAGGCGGGGGUCCCGGGCAGCUGGAAGGCCCCGGGCAACGCAGCCCUUCUUCCAAGAUGCUGUCCCACGUGUCAAGCUGAGUGUCUGCUGCCUUGACAUUUUGAGCGUCUGUCUUCCUCUCCUGGCUUCGCUCCAGGUAGGGACUGCCGGCCAAGGUCACCAGAGCUCUCGGGGUCUACACUGAAGGAUUAAAGCAACUUCCUUCCAAGAUAAAUACAUUCCCUUCCAUGCAGGACUUCCCAGCCUUUUCUGGUCCAGUCGUAACCCGCAGGCAGCUGCUUUG